AAACUGGAAUAGCACCUGAGAUUUCCUGGGAGUCAUCAAGCUAGUAGCAUCAGGUUUUAAGCUUGCUAAGGCUCUCGCGUCUUGCAGUAUCCUGAAGUUUUGGUCCUUUUGGCCUGCUAUGAUGAGCAUGGUCAGUGUUCAGAGGUGACACGGGUGUUGCUGUCCAGAUCACUAGCUAUCCCUGCUUUUAUGUCUUGCUCUUGGUUAGGUCACUGGGGAGCCCUUGAUACGCCGGUCAGAUGACAACGAAGGAGCUUUGAAGACUCGUCUGCAGGCUUACCACACCCAGACGUCGCCGCUGGUUAACUACUAUAGCAGGCGUGGGAUCCAUACGGCUGUGGAUGCUUCCCAGUCCCCUGAUGUGGUUUUUGCCAGCAUCCUGGCAGCUUUCUCAAAGCAACAUCCGCAUGAAUCCAGGAAGUGGACGAGACAGGACAGAACACCAUCGAAUGCUGCAUGUUCAUCACCCUCACCCUUUUGCCUUCAAGCCAAGGGGGCAAAGGAAGGGAGGGGCAAGGAAAGGGGCAGGAAGCACAAGGGGUAACUUGACAGGAAUUUUGUUUUAAGAAAGUCAAACCAGAAUUUAGGGAGGAAAAUGUGUACUGUAUUGUGUUGAAAUGGGCUUGUAAAGGCUGGAUAUCACCAUAGCUCUGACUCUAGACAGUUGCAUUGUAAAAAUUAACUUGGCAGGGAGGGGAAGCUAUCUUGGACCCAGUUGUUUUCCCUGGAUGGUCCCAGUGAUUUAGGAAGUUCAUUGGAGGCACAGCGCAGAAAUUAGCAGACUAUGCACUGCAAGAAAUCCGCUCAAAGGCUUCUCUAAGCCCAGGAGUUCCAGCUGUGCACAAGUCCUUGUUUCUGCUGUGCCUUUUCUCCACGUAGCCUCCACUUGGGGGACAAUUUUGGCCUCAGGUAUAACGGCUCUUUCAAUCACUCCCGCUGCAGAGAUGCUGCAGAAUUCCUGCAUCAGCAAUUGGCAUCUGAAGUCAUCACCUUCUGGAUGGGGCAGUGCUGCCUGCUUUACUGUUCAGAGUAGUAUUCACUUAAAUAUUGAAAGAUCAGAACCAAGAACACUCCCCCUGCCCUCAAACAACUGCAGUUUCCAGUUCUUUUACUUGCCAUCCUUUUAGGGCCCACCUGCUACUUCAAUAAAAUGGCUGUCACUUUUGUACCUGAA